GUGGGAGGCGACCGUUAUUGAUCAUAAAUGGGUCUAAAGGGUCUCUAGUGCAGUAAAUUAAACGUAUGAUUUGAAUAAAAAAAGUUUUAGAAAGAAAGAUCUAAAAAAUAAGUAAUUUAGCUUAAUUUUACAAUUUUUAAUAUAUUUAAAUAUAAAGGCGUACUAUUUUACUAGAGUCUUAUGGAGGAAUGGACGAAUAAUUAGAGUAAGGAUGAAAUCUUUUGAUACUAGAGAGACGGCUAAAGGCGAAGGCAUCAUUCCAAGUAAAGACUGACGCAGAGGGACGUAAGCGUGGGAAGUGAACAGGAUUAGAUACCCCAGUAAUCCACGCCGUAAACGAUAAAUGCUAAAGAUUAGUUAUAUAUUAAAGAAAAACAAUAUAGAUAAAGAAAAAAAAAGGUUAUUAAAUUUAACUAAUAUUGUUAUCUAAUAUGAAAAAUUAGUUUAUAAAUGAAGAUGUUAAGCAUUUCACCUGGGGAGUACGGUCGCAAGGCUGAAACCCAAAACAUUAGACGGUCACGGAAACCAGCAGUGAAGCAUGUUAUUUAAUACGAUAACCCACGUAAAACCUUACCCUUUCUUGUAUAGCUAUAUUCGUAAUAGGAUGUAGAUCUAGAAAUUAAAAAAUCUUAAUUAUAGAAUAACUAAUACAGGUGUUGCAUGGCUGUCUCCAGUUCGUGUCGUGAGAUGUUAGGUUAAUUCCACUAAACGAAUGAAACCCUAUGUUCUUAAUAUAAAUAUAAAUUAAAACAAUUCUUGAAAAACGAGAAUAUAAUUAGGGAUUAAGACAAGUCGUCAUGACCUUUAUGAAAGGGGCUAUAGACGUGCCGCAAAAAUUUAGACAAAAGGAUGCAAUAAUAUAUUAAAAAUUGAGCUAAACCUAAAAAUAAAUUAUUACGAAUUAGAGUCUGUAACUCGACUAUAUGAAGAAGGAAUUGCUAGUAAUCGUAAAUCAUAAUGUUACGGUGAAAUCUUAUAUCUGUGAUGUACUAACUACUCGUCAAGCGCGAAAA
rnacentral:rRNA from 1 species